UACAGAGGUCUCAAGCGUUGUUCGGAUUCAUUGGGCGUAAAGCGCGCGUAGGCGGCUCGGAAAGUCGGUCGUGAAAUGCCGGGGCUCAACCCCGGGACUGCGUCCGAUACUUCCGGGCUGGAGGUAGGUAGGGGAGAUCGGAAUUCCUGGUGUAGCGGUGAAAUGCGCAGAUAUCAGGAGGAACACCGGUGGCGAAGGCGGUUCUCUGGGCAUUACCUGACGCUGAGGAGCGAAAGUGUGGGGAGCGAACAGG
rnacentral:rRNA from 1 species